rnacentral:rRNA from 1 species
CCUACUGGGCGCAGCAGUGAUGAAUAUUGGUCAAUGGACGAGAGUCUGCACCAGCCAAGUAGCGUGAAGGAUGACUGCCCUAUGGGUUGUAAACUUCUUUUAUAUGGGAAUAAAACGUUCCACGUGUGGGAUUUUGUAUGUACCAUAUGACUAAGGAUCGGCUAACUCCGUGCCAGCAGCCGCGGUAAUACGGAGGAUCCGAGCGUUAUCCGGAUUUAUUUGGUUUACAGGGAGCGUAGGUGGAUUGUUAAGUCAGUUGUGAAAGUUUGCGGCUCAACCGUAAUAUUGCAGUGGAAACUGGCAGGCUUGAGUACAGUAGAGGUGGGCGGAAUUCGUGGUGUAGCGGUGAAAUGCUUAGAGAUCACGAAGAACUCCGAUUGCGAAGGCAGUUCACUGGACUGCAACUGACACUGAGGCUCGAAAGUGUGGGUAUCAAACAGGAUUAGAUACCCGGGUAGUC